rnacentral:rRNA from 1 species
GACGAACGCUGGCGGCGUGCCUAAUACAUGCAAGUCGAGCGAACAGACGAGGAGCUUGCUCCUCUGACGUUAGCGGCGGAGGGGUGAGUAACACGUGGAUAACCUACCUAUAAGACUGGGAUAACUUCGGGAAACCGGAGCUAAUACCGUAUAAUAUAUUGAACCGCAUGGUUCAAUAGUGAAAGACGGUUUUGCUGUCACUUAUAGAUGGAUCCGCGCCGCAUUAGCUGGUUGGUAAGGUAACGGCUUACCAAGGCAACGAUGCGUAGGCGGCCUGAGGGGGUGAUCGCCCACACUGGAGCUGAGACACGGUCCAGACUCCUACGGGACGCAGCAGUAGGGAAUCUUCCGCAAUGGGCGAAAGCCUGACGGAGCAACGCCGCGUGAGUGAUGAAGGUCUUCGGAUCGUAAAACUCUGUUAUUAGGGAAGAACAAAUGUGUAAGUAACUAUGCACGUCUUGACGGUACCUGGUCAGAAAGCCACGGCUAACUACGUG